UAACUACUCCCUCUCUCCUAAAUUUCUUGUCUUAGAUUUGUCUAGAUACGGAUGUAUCUAAUACUAAAAUGUGACUUGAUACAUCCGUAUCUAGACAAAUCUAAGACAAGAAUUUUGGGAUGGAGGGAGUACUUU
rfam:Triticum aestivum genome assembly, contig: Triticum_aestivum_CS42_TGACv1_scaffold_130062_2BL